CACAGCCAACUUAUAGAAAGAAGGCAUAUGCAGAUUUCUACAGAAAUUAUGAUUCCAUGAAAGAUUUUGAGGAGAUGAAGAAGGCUGCUAUCUUUCAGAGUGCAAAGGAAU